rnacentral:sRNA from 1 species
CUAUUGAAUGUCUAGAUCUUCUCUAUUCUGUGAUAUGAUCUCUAAUCACUGUGUCUUCUGCUGUUUUGAUUGUGUUAUAUGAUCUAUUGAUAAGUUCUUGUCAAUCAAACCUUGUUGAAAGCUAAUCUGACUGUGAAUUGAUGACUUUCACAGUUGCUAACUGUUGUUAGUCUCUAUCUUUUGUUGUCAGAGUGUAUAUUUUGUUUGUGAUUGUCUCAUCUUCUCUUUCAAUGUCUCUUCUGUGUGUGAUCUUGCUUCUGUUGAGAAGAUCACCUCCGUCGAUGUUGUGGGGGCAGAGCAUGACAAUGACAACAUCAGUGAAGCAGUUGACAAGAAUGUAAACAGCAGUGGUAGUGUUUGUGAAGAUGCUGUGAUGAUGAAUGUCUCUGUGUUGUUUUCUGUUGCUGUCUUCUCUGCUUUCACUGAUUUCUUCUUUCUCAUCUUCAUCAAUCUUCUCUUUUUCUCUCAUGCUGA